UUAAUUGCGCAAUAUCGUACCCAAUGAAGGUCUCCUGAGGUGGGAUUAUUGCUAGUUGAAAACUUUUACCAACUACCAACCAAUUUUAGUAAUGGAUUUUUUGUUUUGUAUUAAA
rnacentral:snRNA from 1 species